AUACUGCUGAGCUAGGGACCGGGAGAGGCCGAGGGUAUUCCCGGGGUAGGGGUGAAAUCCUGUAAUCCCGGGAGGACCACCUGUGGCGAAGGCGCUCGGCUGGAACGGGUCCGACGGUGAGGGACGAAGGCCUGGGGAGCGAACCGGAUUAGAUACCCGGGUAGUCCAGGCUGUAAACGAUGCGGGCUAGGUGUCACCGGAGCUACGAGCUCCGGUGGUGCCGGAGGGAAGCCGUUAAGCCCGCCGCCUGGGAAGUACGGCCGCAAGGCUGAAACUUAAAGGAAUUGGCGGGGGAGCACUACAACGGGUGGAGCCUGCGGUUUAAUUGGAUUCAACGCCGGGAAGCUUACCGGGGGAGACAGCGGGAUGAAGGUCGGGCUGAAGACCUUACCAGACUAGCUGAGAGGUGGUGCAUGGCCGCCGUCAGUUCGUACUGUGAAGCAUCCUGUUAAGUCAGGCAACGAGCGAGACCCGCGCCCUCAGUUGCCAGCGGGUCCCUUCGGGGACGCCGGGCACACUGAGGGGACUGCCGGCGCUAAGCCGGAGGAAGGUGCGGGCAACGGCAGGUCCGUAUGCCCCGAAUCCCCCGGGCUACACGCGGGCUACAAUGGCCGGGACAAUGGGUACCGACCCCGAAAGGGGUGGGUAAUCUCCUAAACCCGGUCUAACCUGGGAUCGAGGGCUGCAACUCGCCCUCGUGAACCUGGAAUCCGUAGUAAUCGCGUCUC
rnacentral:rRNA from 1 species